UUUCAAUUUUAAUCUUUAUUUCAAAAUUUUAAUUUGAUUUAUAUUUUAAUUUAUAAUUUUCUUUUAAUUUUAUAUUUAAUAUUUAAUUUGUUUUAAUAUUUAAUUUACAUUGUCAUUAUUUAUAAUAUUAUAAUAAAUUAUAAUAAAUAUAAUUACGUGGGUCUCGACGUAGUCACCUCCUCGUUGGUGAGACCCGGUAAUUGGCAUCGGUUUUCAUUUUAUAUUAUUUGAUCAAAUUAUUGGAAAUAUUACAUUAAAAAUAUUGUAUUAAAAUUAUAUUAGAAUGGUUAGUUUUUGAAAACUGAUGCCAAGCUAAGAACUACACUACACUAGUUUUAAGUUUAAGUUUAAUUUGUUAUUGUAUCUUUAACUUGUAAAAUUUUGAUUAUUUUGCAAGAAAUUUCGAAUAUUUAUAAUUCGCGAUCAUUUAUUAUAAUUGAUUAUAAUCUAAAUUUUGAUAGCGAACAAUUAUAACGUAAUUUUUCCAAAUUAUUCAAAUUUUGCAAAUUUUUUCAAAUAAUUCAUAAACUUUUUUGAAUAUUAAAAAGUAUCUUAGAACUCAUAGCAGUAUUUUCUUAAACAAAUGUUUGAAAGGAAAAAGAAAAAAAAGGAAAAAUAUCGAAGAAUAUUUUACUUUUUUUUCCACCCCAUCCCUCCCUUAUUAUACAAUUUUAUUUCCAGUAAAUUUUUGUAAUCGCGCGCGAUCAGUAGAGUCAAUGUUUGCUUUCGUAAAAGUUUUUUUAAAUUCUUUAACGAAUAACGCGAAAUUAGAAUCAGUGUUUGUUCGCCGAAUUUAAUUUUUAACCAGUCGCGUUAAAAGAUAACGCGUUUAGAGUCAGUGCUUCUCUCAAGAAAAUACGGCGGUCAUCCAUCACGCGAAGAGAUAUUUCGUAACAUCCUCCUGCCAAUAUUCUUCGCAUCUAAGGGUGAGUCGCAUGCAUUUAUGUUCCUCCGGUCACUCAAUCAUGUCGUAGGACGAAAGGUCCGAAUCGACACGAGUGAUUGGUUGUAUACGUAGAUUUUUGCAACGGGCAUAGUGACCACGGAUAUAUUUAUUAUAUCCGUGAGUAGUAACAUGUGUUUUAUUUAUUAGCUCAGGCUAGAUCUUCUUGCACAUCGCGUUUCUCAAAUACUAAUAAACUAAAAAUUUUCUUUUCUUUUUUACAUUUCGCUUUAUAAUAUAAUAUAUAUUAAUUAUUCGAUUUUUAAUUUUCAACAAUCAUAUGAUACAAAAUAUAAAAUUUUAAAUUUUAGUUCCUUCAUAUACGAAAAUGUGUAAGAAGAUAUAUCGCGACAGGUAGAUUUCGGAAUCAAAACAAUAAUAUUGAACAUUGUGUUUCUAGUUUCUAAUUCGAAACUAUGUUUUGAUGAAGGAAUCGCCUGAGGUUAUUAAUGUUAACUUUAAUUUUUCAAUUCAAUUAGUUUAUUUUGCAUUUAGUAUUUCUUGUUGUAAAUAAAUUUCUUAUUUAUUUUUCUUUUGCUUUAUUAUUAUAUAGAUAUUAUAUAGAUAUAACUUUAAUAAAAUUAGAGUCAUUACAUAAAAUUUAAAGUAAAAAUAGAUGAUGAAAUAAAGAAUAUUAGUCCGUUAGAAAAAAAAUAGAUAUUUAUAAUAUUUUUUUAGUUUAGGAUUUUCAGGUUUAACCCCUUCCGUGUCUAUUGCCACGAUCUCACUCACGUGCCCAGGUGUUACUUGGGUGAGAGAGAGGCAAUAGGCAUGAUGACUAUAGUUUAUAAGUUUUUAACGGCGACUGACGAUAAGUUAGUGAUCGUGCACGACGUAUUUUCCACAUUGUGUGUGUUUGCGAUUAGGCUGUGGAAUUGCGUCGUUACGAUUCUCAUUUUUAUUUAUUAUAUUAUCAAUUAUACGAUUUACAAUUUUGUUAAUAUUAUCAUAAAAUUAUAAAUUGUAAAUUGAUACCAAUUAUUAAAUUUUAGUAAUGCCAUUUUUAUUGAUAAUUAAAAUCGAGAUAGAUACGAUUUUUUAUCGCGAUUCACGCAAUGAUCAUUAGCCAUCGUCAGUCGAUUUCAGGAAAAGGUACGUAAAUUUAGAGUGUGAAAGUAGUAUCAAACUCGGGUGUCGGAGGCGUCCCGGGACGUUCUCCCUAGUGUAGGCUUUUUGCACCCGGGUGUAAUGUGUGAGAACCGUGGAGUGGGUGUGUUGGUGUGAUUGUUUUGCCAUUUUUUAAAUAUAGCGCUAGGUAGGAUAGGUAGUAUACUUUCUGGUGUGCGUGUUAAUUAUAAGUAGGUAGGGCCGGGCAGGUUGUCACAGUCUCUGGUCGGGUAGGCGCGUUUUCGCGUGACAACCUGUUUCAGGAAAUACAAUUUGAAAAAUCGAGAGUGGAGCUGAGAUGAGUGGUCAUCGAUGACCACUCGUUUCUGGUUUUACUUAUAUCGAUUUUUCGAAUUUCGCGGUCGCGGUCGCGAAGUGGGCGAAACGAACGUGCGCUCGAGAUUCUGCGCAUGUGCGGACAAUGGUCAGUAAUGACUAUUGGUCGUCCAUGAGCACUCAGCUUUCGCGAUUUAGUCUAUUUUUUUUCUUUUUUUUUUUUUUGCGAUUAGGAAAUCUCGAGCCUAGAUUUAAGUUUCAGCGGGUAUUGCGCCCGAAGGAGGAAGACCGAAGAGGCCUCGACAAACUGUCACGAAGAGGGGCUGCAACGAAUGGGUUCUCAUCUUUUGGAUCUUGACUGGAUCCAAAGAAUGGGAAGUCAUUGUUACUACUUUGUCACUAUGCUCGUUUUAGAAUCAGUAGUAGUAGUAGUAAUAGUAGUAGUAGUAGUAGUAGUAAUAGUAGUAGUAGUAGUAGUAGUAGUAUUUAUGGCCGAUGAGAAUUCCGGCCCAACGUACAAUCAUCAUGGGCAAAUGGGCAAUCGCGAUUUUUUAAUUAGUGUUGCGACAAAUAAAUUACGGUUUGCAUUAGAGUUGCGAAAUAACGAUCGCGUUUGAUUUAGUGUUGCGUUUAAUGAGACAUCGCGAUUUUUUUUAAUAAUUUUAAUUUUAAUAAUACAAUUUUUUAUAAAAAGUAAUAUUAAAAAAUUUUACGUUUAUUUUAUUCCAAAUUUUAAUUAUAGAGAUAUUAACUUUCAAUUCAUUUGCAUUUGUAUUAAAUUUUAAGAACUAGUGUUGCGUUGAAAAGUAAUCGCGUUUUUGAAAAUAGUGUUGCGUCAAAAAAUAGUCGCGUUUUUGAAAGUAGUGUUGCGCUAUAAAAUGAUCGCGUUUUUGAAAGUAGUGUUGCGUUUAUAAAAUGCCCAUGAUUCUUCCACUAAUAUUGUGGAAGUGAUCCUGUUUUGGGAUCAUAAAAUGCAGUUGGAAGAGCUGCAAAAAUGUGGUCCUACUUUUGGAUCACAAAGUGGGAAAACGGGCAAUCGCGAUUUUUUAAUUAGUGUUGCGACAAAUAAAUUACGGUUUGCAUUAGUGUUGCGAAUAAGUAACAAUCGCGUUUGCUUUAGUUUUGCGUUUUAUGAGACAUCGCGAUUUUUUUUUAAUAAUUUUAAUCAUUAUUAAAUUUAAUAAUAUAAUUUUUUUUAAAUAAUAGUAUUGAAAAAUUUUAUGUUUAUUUUAUUUCGAGUUUUAAUUAGAGAUAUUAACUUUCAAUUCAUUUUUAUUUAUAUUAAAUUCAUUUUAAAAAUUAGUGUUGCGUUGAAAAAUAAUCGCGUUUUUGAAAGUAGUGUUGCGUUAUAAAAUGAUCGCGUUUUUGAAAGUAGUGUUGCGUUUAUAAAAUGCCCAUAUUCUUCCACUAAUAUUGUGGAAAUGAUUCUGUUUUUGGAUCACAAGUGUGGUCCUUAUAGCCUUUUCUGGCUAUCAUUCUUUUUCAGCGCCCCUAACUAUUAUAGCAUUUGUUAAUGAAAAUACUGCUAAAAAAUUUAUUCAUUUGAAUUUUAAACUCUCGUACUAUUAUAUAAAAUUGUUUGCAUUAUCCAAUAAAAAUAUUAAUUUAUUUAGUAUUAUAAAUUAAUAUUCUUAUUACGAUAUAUUGAUACAAACACAGUUGAUUUAUUUGGAACAAAUGACAAAUAAUUAUUCGUUGUCAAAAUUAAAAUUAAAUUUUUUUCUACUAUUUCCCUAAAAUUGAAUAAAAUUUGUUAGUAUUUUUGUAUUUUUAAUUAUGAGACAAUUGAAUAAAUAUUCGGAAUUCCUGUGUGAAAUAUCAAAAUAAAAUUUUUAAUUUAUACUAUAUAUAAUUUUUAAGAUAUCUGCGAUUUAAUUUAAACUUAAAUUUAAGAUUUAAAUAAAUUUUAAGUCUUAAAUUUAAGUCUUAGGUUUAAGUUUAAUGUAAGAUAGAUAUUUAGAUUAAGUUUAUUGUAAGCACAUUCGGUAAGAAGAUACGCUUCUUAACGUAAAAUCAACUCUAUAUACACAAACAUUUAUUCAUACAUAUUUUCAAUCUAUUUACUUCCUUUCUUUUUCUUUUUCUUCUUUCUUUUACUUUGCAUUAAAUAGGAGUGUAUCUUUAGUACGGAUGAUGCCAGUAGGAUAUAUAUAUAUAUAUCAUAGAUUUAAGAUGUAGUAUUAAGAAUAUAGAUUAAGUUAGAUAGACUACGACAGAUAAUUUAUUUACCAAUUGUAUCACAUUUCUUUUCUAUGUAUAAGAUUUGAUUUGUAGAUAAUUAAUUGUAUUAUUUAAUGUACUGCUCACUUUGUUCAAUAAAUUCAACCUGAUGGGUCUCGAUGCGUAGUCACCUCCCCGUGGGUGAGACCCGGUAAUUGACAUCGCUUUUCAUAUUUUUCAUUUAAAAAGAUAUCUUGAUUUCCCUUCGAAAAUUUUUCGAAACGCGAUGGCAAGCCAAGAACUACGCACACCUUCAAACUAGUCUAAAAUGAUUGCCUUAAAUUAUUUUUAUUAAUUAGCAAUGGAUUAGAUUGAAGGUACUAAAGUCUUUUCGUAAAUGACAAGAUGCGCGCAUCUUAGAUUUAAGAUCUAAGUUUUAAGUAUAAUAUAAGAUAGGUUUAAAAUUUAGAAUUAAGUCUUAAUUUUAAUAUGUUCAUCAUAAUUUAUUAUAUUUCGAUAAGAUGCGUGCGUUUUAGAUGUAAGUCCUAAUAUUAAGUAUAGAAUAAGAUAGAUUUAAGAUUUAGAAUUAAGACUUAGAUUUUAAAUGAUUAUACUCGAUGUAAAUGAUAAGAUACAUGCACCUUAGAUUUAGGUCCUAGUUUUUUGAAUAAUGUAAGAUAGAUAUAAGAUAUACGUAAGAUAUAUAUAUAAAAUAGAUGUAAAAUUUAGUAUUAAGAUCUAGUAUAAGUUAAAUUUAAAAUUUCAUCGAUGGACAUCGUUGGACAUCGCUGGACAUCGCUGGACAUCGCUGGACAUCGCUGGACAUCGCUGGACAUCGUUGGAUGACGUUGGACAACGUGGGAUCAUGAUGAUUAACAUAGGAUAAUGAUUUUAAUUUCCUUUUUAUAAUUUCUUAUAUUCGAUCUAUCAAUGGACAUCGAAUGUCAUCAGUGGACAUCGUUGAACAUCGUUGGACAGCGUUGGACGACGUUGGACGACAUUGGACGACAUUGGACGACAUUGGACGUCAGUGGACGAUGUUGGAUCAAGAUAAUCAAUAUAGAUUACGGAUUUUACUUUUUUUUUAUAAUUUCUUAUAUUCGAUGUAUCAAUGGACAUCGAAUGUCAUCAGUGGACAUCGUUGAACAUCGUUGGACAUCGUUGGACGACGUUGGACGACAUUGGACGACAUUGGACGAUAUUGGACGUCAGUGGACGAUGUUGGAUCAAGAUAAUCAAUAUAGAUUACGGAUUUUACUUUUUUUUUAUAAUUUCUUAUAUUCGAUGUAUCAAUGGACAUCGAAUGUCAUCAGUGGACAUCGUUGGACAGCGCUGGACAUCGUUGGACAGCGUUGGACGACGUUGGAAGAUAUUGGACGACAUUGGACGUCAGUGGACGAUGUCGGAUCAAGAUAAUCAAUAUAGAUUACGGAUUUUACUUUUUUUUUUAUAAUUUCUUAUAUUCGAUGUAUCAAUGGACAUCGAAUGACAUCAGCUGGAUAUCGUUGGGCAUCGUUUGACAUCGUUGGACAUCGUUGGACAUCGUUGGACAUCGUUGGACAUCGUUGGACAUCAUUGGACAUCGUUGGACAUUGUUGGACGUCGUUGGACAUCGAUUGAUACCGUUAAAAAGGAUUUAAUUUCCUUUCUCUAAUUUCUUAUAUUCGAUGUAUUAAUGAACAUCGUUGGACGACGUUGGAUCACGAUAAUCAAUAUAGAUAAGGGAUUUUAAUUACUUUUUUAUAAUUUUUUAUAUUCAAUGGAUAAUUCUUAUAACCACGGAAAAUGUUGGACGGCGUUGGAUCAUGAUAAUCAAUAUGCGACAAAACUUUUAAUAUUAUUAGAUUUCUUUAUUAUAAUUUGUUAUAUUCGAUUUAUCGAUGAACAACGAUGGACAUCGAUCGACGACGUUGGACGAUAAUCAGUGUACGACAGAUUUUAAUUUCUUUUUUUAUAAUUUCUUAUAUUUGAUGGACAAUGUUGGAUGGCGUUGGACGACGUUGGAUCACGAUAAUCAAUAUAGAAUACGGAUUUUAAUUUCUUUUUUAUAAUUUCUUAUAUUCGAUAUAACGAUAGAAUAUGUUGGAAGGCGUUGGAUCGCGAUAAUCAACAUACGAUAUAGCUUUUACUAUUAUUAGGUUUUUAUUAGGUUUUUUAUAUUUUGUUAUAUUCAAUGUAUCGAUGGAUGACGUUGGAUGAUAUUUGAUCACGAUAAUCAGCAUACGACAUAUAUUUUAAUUUCUUUUUUUAUUAUUUUUUAUAUUCGAUGUAACGAUGGAUAAUGUUGGAUGCCAUAACGAUGGAUAUAGAUCGACGACGUUUGAUCACGAUAAUCAGCAUACGAUAUAGAUUUUAAUUUCUUUCUUUAUUAUUUCUUAUAUUCGACGUAACGAUGAAAAACAAUGAAUAUCGAUAAAUAACGUAGGACAAUGUUGGAUCACGAUAAUCAAUAUAGAAUAAUCAUUAUAGGAUUUUAAUUUCCUUUUUAUAAUUUCUUAUAUUUGAUGUAACGACGGACAAUGUUGGACGGCGUUGGAUCACAAUAAUCAAUAUACGAUAUAGCUUUUAAUAUUAAUAGAUUCCUUUAUUAUAAUUUGUUAUAUUCGAUGCAUCGAUGGACAACGAUAGACAUCGAUCGACGACGUUGGACAAUAUUUGAUCACGAUAAUCGGUAUAUGAUAUAGAUUUUAAUUUCUUUUUUUAUAAUUUCUUAUAUUUGAUGGACAAUGUUGGAUGGCGUUGGACGACGUUGGAUCACGAUAAUCGAUAUACGUAAUAAAUUUUAAUUUAUUAUAAUUUCUUAUAUUCGAUGUAAAUCAUAAGAUGCAUGCAUCUUGGAUUUAAGUAUUAGUUUUAAGUAUUAUUUUUAAGGAUAGUGUAAGAUAGAUGUAAUAUUUAGUAUUAAGAUUUAUAAAUAAUUAAUUGUAUUAUUUCAAUGUAUUCGUCAAUUUGUUCAAUAAAUUCAACCUGAUGGGUCUCGAUGCGUAGUCACCUCCCCGUGGGUGAGACCCGGUAAUUGGCAUCGUUUUUCAUAUUUUUCAUUUAAAAAUAUAUCUUGAUUUCCAUUCGAAAAUUUUUCGAAAAGCGAUGGCAAGCCAAGAACUACGCACACCUUCGAUCUAGUCUAAAAUGAUUGCUUUAAAUUAUUUUGAUUAAUUAAUAAUGGAUUAGAUUGAAGGUACAAAUAAAAUUUUUUUAUAUUCGAUGUAAAUGACAAGAUGCGCGUAUCUUAGAUUUAACUUCUAGUUUUAAAUAUAAUAUAAGAUAGAUUUAAGAUUUAAUAUUAAGACUUAGAUUUUUAUUGUAAUUGAUUAUCCUCGAUGUAAAAGAUGCAUGCAUCUUAGAUUUAGAUCCUAAUUUUUUAAAUAAUGUAAGAUAGAUAUAAGACGUAAGAUAGAUGUAAGAUAGUUAUAAAAUGUAAGAUCGAUGGAAGAUAGAUAUAAGAUAGAUGUAAGAUAUAUAUUAGUAUUAUAAUAGAUGUAAUAUGUUUUAUAUGUUAAUAUGCAUGUGUUUUAGACGUAAGUAGUAAUAUUAAGAGUAAAAUAAGAUAGAUUUAAGAUUUAGUAUUAAGAUCUAGAAUAAGUUAAAUUACGAUUUCAUCGAUGGACAUCAUUGGACAUCGUUGGACAUCGUUGGACAUCGCUGGACAUUGUUGGACAUCGUUGGACAUCGACGAUGCUGGACGAUGUUGACAAUAGACGACAUGGAACUGUAUUGAAUCACGAUGAUCAACAUAGGACAAUGAUUUUAAUUUCCUUUUUAUAAUUUCUUAUAUUUGAUGUUUCAGUGAAUAUCAAUGGCCAUCCAUUGACAUUGAUGGACGUCGUUGGACGACGUUGGACGACAUUGGACGAUGUUGAACGACUUUGGAUAACGAUAAUCAACAUACGACAUAGAUUCUAAUUUCUUUGUUAUAAUUUCUUAUAUUCAAUGUAUCAAUGGACAUCGUUGGACGACGUUGGAUCACGAUAAUCAAUAUAGAAUACGGAUUUUAAUUUCUUUUUUAUAAUUUCUUAUAUUCGAUAUAACGAUAGAAUAUGUUGGAAGGCGUUGGAUCGCGAUAAUCAACAUACGAUAUAGCUUUUACUAUUAUUAGGUUUCUUUUUUAUAUUUUGUUAUAUUCAAUGUAUCGAUGGAUGACGUUGGAUGAUAUUUGAUCACGAUAAUCAGCAUACGACAUAUAUUUUAAUUUCUUUUUUUAUUAUUUUUUAUAUUCGAUGUAACGAUGGAUAAUGUUGGAUGCCAUAACGAUGGAUAUAGAUCGACGACGUUUGAUCACGAUAAUCAGCAUACGAUAUAGAUUUUAAUUUCUUUCUUUAUUAUUUCUUAUAUUCGACGUAACGAUGAAAAACAAUGAAUAUCGAUAAAUAACGUAGGACAAUGUUGGAUCACGAUAAUCAAUAUAGAAUAAUCAUUAUAGGAUUUUAAUUUCCUUUUUAUAAUUUCUUAUAUUUGAUGUAACGACGGACAAUGUUGGACGGCGUUGGAUCACAAUAAUCAAUAUACGAUAUAGCUUUUAAUAUUAAUAGAUUCCUUUAUUAUAAUUUGUUAUAUUCGAUGCAUCGAUGGACAACGAUAGACAUCGAUCGACGACGUUGGACAAUAUUUGAUCACGAUAAUCGGUAUAUGAUAUAGAUUUUAAUUUCUUUUUUUAUAAUUUCUUAUAUUUGAUGGACAAUGUUGGAUGGCGUUGGACGACGUUGGAUCACGAUAAUCGAUAUACGUAAUAAAUUUUAAUUUAUUAUAAUUUCUUAUAUUCGAUGUAAAUCAUAAGAUGCAUGCAUCUUGGAUUUAAGUAUUAGUUUUAAGUAUUAUUUUUAAGGAUAGUGUAAGAUAGAUGUAAUAUUUAGUAUUAAGAUUUAUAAAUAAUUAAUUGUAUUAUUUCAAUGUAUUCGUCAAUUUGUUCAAUAAAUUCAACCUGAUGGGUCUCGAUGCGUAGUCACCUCCCCGUGGGUGAGACCCGGUAAUUGGCAUCGUUUUUCAUAUUUUUCAUUUAAAAAUAUAUCUUGAUUUCCAUUCGAAAAUUUUUCGAAAAGCGAUGGCAAGCCAAGAACUACGCACACCUUCGAUCUAGUCUAAAAUGAUUGCUUUAAAUUAUUUUGAUUAAUUAAUAAUGGAUUAGAUUGAAGGUACAAAUAAAAUUUUUUAUAUUCGAUGUAAAUGACAAGAUGCGCGUAUCUUAGAUUUAACUUCUAGUUUUAAAUAUAAUAUAAGAUAGAUUUAAGAUUUAAUAUUAAGACUUAGAUUUUUAUUGUAAUUGAUUAUCCUCGAUGUAAAAGAUGCAUGCAUCUUAGAUUUAGAUCCUAAUUUUUUAAAUAAUGUAAGAUAGAUAUAAGACGUAAGAUAGAUGUAAGAUAGUUAUAAAAUGUAAGAUCGAUGGAAGAUAGAUAUAAGAUAGAUGUAAGAUAUAUAUUAGUAUUAUAAUAGAUGUAAUAUGUUUUAUAUGUUAAUAUGCAUGUGUUUUAGACGUAAGUAGUAAUAUUAAGAGUAAAAUAAGAUAGAUUUAAGAUUUAGUAUUAAGAUCUAGAAUAAGUUAAAUUACGAUUUCAUCGAUGGACAUCAUUGGACAUCGUUGGACAUCGUUGGACAUCGCUGGACAUUGUUGGACAUCGUUGGACAUCGACGAUGCUGGACGAUGUUGACAAUAGACGACAUGGAACUGUAUUGAAUCACGAUGAUCAACAUAGGACAAUGAUUUUAAUUUCCUUUUAUAAUUUCUUAUAUUUGAUGUUUCAGUGAAUAUCAAUGGCCAUCCAUUGACAUUGAUGGACGUCGUUGGACGACGUUGGACGACAUUGGACGAUGUUGAACGACUUUGGAUAACGAUAAUCAACAUACGACAUAGAUUCUAAUUUCUUUGUUAUAAUUUCUUAUAUUCAAUGUAUCAAUGGACAUCGUUGGACGACGUUGGAUCACGAUAAUCAAUAUAGAAUACGGAUUUUAAUUUCUUUUUUAUAAUUUCUUAUAUUCGAUAUAACGAUAGAAUAUGUUGGAAGGCGUUGGAUCGCGAUAAUCAACAUACGAUAUAGCUUUUACUAUUAUUAGGUUUUAUUAGGUUUUUAUAUUUUGUUAUAUUCAAUGUAUCGAUGGAUGACGUUGGAUGAUAUUUGAUCACGAUAAUCAGCAUACGACAUAUAUUUUAAUUUCUUUUUUUAUUAUUUUUAUAUUCGAUGUAACGAUGGAUAAUGUUGGAUGCCAUAACGAUGGAUAUAGAUCGACGACGUUUGAUCACGAUAAUCAGCAUACGAUAUAGAUUUUAAUUUCUUUCUUUAUUAUUUCUUAUAUUCGACGUAACGAUGAAAAACAAUGAAUAUCGAUAAAUAACGUAGGACAAUGUUGGAUCACGAUAAUCAAUAUAGAAUAAUCAUUAUAGGAUUUUAAUUUCCUUUUAUAAUUUCUUAUAUUUGAUGUAACGACGGACAAUGUUGGACGGCGUUGGAUCACAAUAAUCAAUAUACGAUAUAGCUUUUAAUAUUAAUAGAUUCCUUUAUUAUAAUUUGUUAUAUUCGAUGCAUCGAUGGACAACGAUAGACAUCGAUCGACGACGUUGGACAAUAUUUGAUCACGAUAAUCGGUAUAUGAUAUAGAUUUUAAUUUCUUUUUUUAUAAUUUCUUAUAUUUGAUGGACAAUGUUGGAUGGCGUUGGACGACGUUGGAUCACGAUAAUCGAUAUACGUAAUAAAUUUUAAUUUAUUAUAAUUUCUUAUAUUCGAUGUAAAUCAUAAGAUGCAUGCAUCUUGGAUUUAAGUAUUAGUUUUAAGUAUUAUUUUUAAGGAUAGUGUAAGAUAGAUGUAAUAUUUAGUAUUAAGAUUUAUAAAUAAUUAAUUGUAUUAUUUCAAUGUAUUCGUCAAUUUGUUCAAUAAAUUCAACCUGAU